rnacentral:rRNA from 1 species
CGCGUAGGCGGCCACUGCAAGUCGGUUGUGAAAUCUCCGGGCUUAACCCGGAAAGGUCAAUCGAUACUGCAGGGCUAGAGUGCAGAAGGGGCAACUGGAAUUCUCGGUGUAGCGGUGAAAUGCGUAGAUAUCGAGAGGAACACCUGCGGCGAAGGCGGGUUGCUGGGCUGACACUGACGCUGAAGCGCGAAAGCUAGGGGAGCGAACG